rnacentral:tRNA from 1 species
UCUCUGGUUGUCCAGUGGUUAGGACUCUGUGCUUUCACUUUCGGGGCCCAGGUUCGAAUCCUGGUUGGGGAA